AUAUAUGUAACGUUUCCCCCCCAUCGAUUGCUUUGCAUCGCUUGUCCCUCAAACUAUUUUAUAAGCAUCCGAUGUUUUGGCUGCAGGGACGAUUUCCAGAUUAGUCUCGAUUACAUUUAUUUCUAAAGGAUCUCGGUGUGUUCUGAGCACACGCCUGAGAGCGGAGCCGGGUAGAGCUGAGCAGAGCGCGGCGAGCUAAGUUUUCUCACGGGCUCCUGUCCCCCUGAAGCCCCCUUGGCGCCUGCCCUGAGCGUUCGCAGGCAACCGAGGCAGCGUUCUUCGGGAUGUGCCAAGCGCCGCCCGCCCGCUCGCUCCUCCAGCUCGGCCCCUUCCCCUGCAACAGACCACACGGUUCAAGACGACGAUGUGACAGAGAGAAAACAAGCCGCUCUCUUGUCUGUGACCCGCGAGGCGACCGCGGCGAGCGGGCACCAGCUCCCCACUCCGAUUAGGCAAUUAGCUGAUUGCUGCCUGCCCGCAGCCCGAGCGAGCGGUGCGCGGGGAUCUCGCUGCCUGCCCACCUCUCCUGCAAACAGAGGCACGUUCUCCGACUUUGAUAGCUCCCUGGGUUCCUGUGAAAAACAACCACAGCGUUUCCAGAGUGUGUUUCUCAAAUACCAGCGUCAGGGGAUCGCAGAAUUACAGCAGCAAAUGUUACGAGGUUGACACUGCUGUUCAGGUGAAGGAGAGUUCAGAGUCUCAGAGAGCAGCAGCAGCUUGUGCUUCUGGGAAAAUGGAAGGAUGACUCCCAGGCAGCCGAUCCUGCCACUCCGUAAAAUGGAAGAACCUUGGCUCCCCGUGUGAAUUCUCUUUGUGAUUUGGAAGACAAAUACCUCUGCUGAGUUGUCUAUGAACAGAUGCUAAGAUAAGAGUCGAUGGUGCCGUGAACCAAGGUACUGACAUAGCAGCUGGAGAGAAGUGAAUGGAUUUCAAUGAUGUAAGGGAGAUGAACUGACAACAAAAUAAUUGUUGAUAAGAUCUGGAGAUUGAGAGAAGAAUGACAGAAUGACUGUAGGAUCUUGAUUUGCGCCAAGUGAAUGGAUGCUGCUCACUUAGAAGAAGAUUUUUGUUUUGGAAAAAUUCUUUUUAGAUGAAGCAGUAGAGACGGAGUUUCACCAUGUUAGCCAGGAUGGUCUUGAUCUCCUGACCUCGUGAUCCACCUGCCUUGGCCUCCCAAAGUGCUGGGAUUACAGGCGUGAGCCACCGCCCCCAGCUGGAUGGUAUCCCCUCAAGCAUUACUGGCCUUGUUCCACUAUGUCAAAUGUAUGCAGCAGAGAAAGGGGAUACACCAGCAGCUGGAGUGGCUGAGCGGAAGGAAGGACACUAGAACAUAUUAAUCCCAUUUUAAGCAACAGGCACUGUGUUAAGUGAUUUCAGAUACAAUACCACAUUUAAUCCUCAUAACAAGCUUGCAAGGAGAACAUUGUCACGACUGUAUUCAUACAUGAAGAAACUGAGGCUCGGAGACAUUAAGAUUUGAGCCAGGAUCUGUGUUCUUCCAAAGCCCAUGGGUCAGAAAUGCCAGCUGAUUCUGGUUCCAGCUAGAACUACCAGACAUCUUAGGCCAGGUCUCAGGAAUCCUUGAGGCAAAAAUCUGCAUAACAUUGAGGCCAAAGAUGAGCCUAAUGGAGUUGGACCUACCCAUUUAGUGGUAGACUUCUUUAUUGGCAAAAUAUUCUGUCAAGAUCUCCCCUGAUGGACAAGUCAAAAUUCUUUCCAACAUAACAAAGACCUAUUGUCAUCAUGGGAAUGCUGCGAUCUUGCUCUUUCAGCUCAAAAAUCUACUUUCUGGAACCAGGUCAUGGACUUGCAGGACUUUCCAUCUACAAUUUUGUUUAGGGAAUUGAGAUCAGAUGAACAGGGCCGAGGAAGCUGUAGGCAGACAGAAUUAGUGAUAAUUCUUUCCCACAAUACUGCACUCCAUUCUUCUAACAUACCUCAAGUGCAUGCCCUCGGCCAAAACAGAUCUGGCAAGAGGAAGAUUAACAAUGAUGACAAAAAUAGUUCCUGACUUGAUAAAACAAAUAUCAACUGGGACAAGAACAAGAACUGCCCAUAAACCAACCUUGGGAUC
ensembl:lncRNA LINC02775 long intergenic non-protein coding RNA 2775